AUGCCAUGAUGAGGACAGUCUAGGAUGUAGUCUUGAAAGCGUUCCCAAGCUUCUGGGACUGUCUCAUCAUGUUGCUGGUGAAAACUCGAAAUCUUCCCACGAAGAGCAU
rfam:Sorghum bicolor cultivar BTx623 chromosome 10, whole genome shotgun sequence.